AGUGAACGCUGGCGGUAGGCCUAACACAUGCAAGUCGAACGGCAGCACAGUAAGAGCUUGCUCUUACGGGUGGCGAGUGGCGGACGGGUGAGGAAUACAUCGGAAUCUACUUUUUCGUUGGGGAUAACGUAGGGAAACUUACGCUAAUACCGCAUACGACCUACGGGUGAAAGCAGGGGAUCUUCGGACCUUGCGCGAUUGAAUGAGCCGAUGUCGGAUUAGCUAGUUGGCGGGGUAAAGGCCCACCAAGGCGACGAUCCGUAGCUGGUCUGAGAGGAUGAUCAGCCACACUGGAACUGAGACACGGUCCAGACUCCUACGGGAGGCAGCAGUGGGGAAUAUUGGACAAUGGGCGCAAGCCUGAUCCAGCCAUACCGCGUGGGUGAAGAAGGCCUUCGGGUUGUAAAGCCCUUUUGUUGGGAAAGAAAAGCAGCAGGUUAAUACCCCGCUGUUCUGACGGUACCCAAAGAAUAAGCACCGGCUAACUUCG
rnacentral:rRNA from 1 species